rnacentral:rRNA from 1 species
CGGCGGACGGGUGAGUAACACGUGGAUAACCUACCUAUAAGACUGGGAUAACUUCGGGAAACCGGAGCUAAUACCGGAUAAUAUAUUGAACCGCAUGGUUCAAUAGUGAAAGACGGUUUUGCUGUCACUUAUAGAUGGAUCCGCGCUGCAUUAGCUAGUUGGUAAGGUAACGGCUUACCAAGGCAACGAUGCGUAGCCGACCUGAGAGGGUGAUCGGCCACACUGGAACUGAGACACGGUCCAGACUCCUACGGGAGGCAACAGCC